UUUUUUUUUUAAUCAGAAGAGAGAAUUACUUCUUUAGAUCCUCUAAUGGAACUGCUCAUCAUUAUUCAGGCUCACAAGUGCAUCUUUUCUCCUUUCCCUGUAUUUGAUACAUGCAGACAUGGCUCUUUUGCGGGUGCAUUAGUUUCACUGUGAUGUGGCUGGAUGUAGGUGUUUAUUUUGUGCCUGGAAUUUGAUGGGCCUCGAGUCUGGAUUGCUGUUGUCACUAGUUCUGCAAGUUUCUUGAUCAUUAGGUCUUUAAAUGUUACCUCUGCCAUAUGGUCUUCUGCAGUAACUUUUAAGGUUUUUAAGAUUUUGAAAGAAGCUACUAUGACAAAGUCAUAAAGCAUCACUUCUUUUAGUUCUCAAACCUCACUUAAAAAGUCAAAAUUGUUGGGGCACUAAAUAAAAUUCUGUGUAAUCCUAGAAGAAUUUUAAACAUUCAAUUUUUUAUGAUUCUAAAUACCAGUUCAGACUAUAUUUCCAGGAAAUUAUCACAGAAGAAUGUUGUGUACUUAUAGAAUACAUUAGUUAUGAUUUUAGGACAAUACAGUUCCUUUCAAGGCUUAUUUUCAGUUAGUUACUAAACAUAUUUGGGUAGCUCUCUCAGAGAGAGAAGUGAAGAAAUAACCACAUCUUCCAGGGAAAUCCAACAUCCUAAACUAUGGGGAUUUUACAAUAGAGAAACUUGCAAAUUUAGGGCCAUUCAGAAACUCAAUAUUUUGAACUUUUAUUUAGACAUAAUACCUUCAAAAUACGUAACAAUUUUGACUUAAAUUGUUUUGAGGUUUAUUUUAAGAGAGAGUGUGAGUGGGGGAGGGCAGAGAGAGAGAGAGAGAGAGAGAGAGAGAGAGAGAGAAUCCCAAGCAGGCUCCACCAUGUUGCAGGGCUCGAACUCACGAAACCACGAGAUCAUGACCUGAGCCGAAACCAAGAGUCUGACGCUUAACUGAGCCCCUCAGGUGCCCCAACAAUUUUGACUUUUUAAGUGAUGUUUGAGAACUAAAAGAAGUGAUGCUUUAUGACAAAGUCAUAGUAGCUUCCGUUUAGCGUUAUUUUGGUGCCACUUUGCUAAAUGAUUUUUUUUUUAAUUUUUUUUAACGUUUAUUUAUUUUUGAGACAGAGACAGAGCAUGAACAGGGGAGGGGCAGAGAGAGAGGGAGACACAGAAUCCGAAACAGGCUGCGGGUUCUGAGCGGUCAGCACAGAGCCCGACGCGGGGCUCGAACUCACGGACCGUGAGAUCAUGACCUGAGCCGAAGUCAGACGCUCAACCGACCAAGCCACCCAGGCACCCUGCUAAAUGAUUUUUAAACAUUAUUUUCUAUAGUCCUCACAACCUUGUAUGUAGGGCUGACUUCUGUUUUACCAGACAAAACUGGCUUAGAGACGGCGGUUUACUUGCUCAAGUAAGGGGAGUGGCAGAACUGAGCUUUGAACCAGCUCUGACUCGAAGCGUGCUCAGAACCACUUUACAAUGCACAGAAGGAACCCAUCAUCCAGACCCGGGAGGGAGGAGGGAGGCCGAUGGGAUAAUAAUCUGGGCAAGGACAAGGGCAAGGACAAGGGGCUCUGGAGAGUAGGAAAGAUCUCAACCCUUCCCAGUGUAGACUUAACAAAGGAGUAGCAGCCUUGACAACAGAAUUUAAGACCGAGGGGGAAGGAUGAGCAGAAGCUGAAGGAAGCCGGAGGAAGAGGGGUUUGUGUUGUGGAUACUCUAUAAUGAUGGGAAAGCAGCUUGGCCAGUUUUCCCCCCUCCAGGAUAUCAGAGCAUUUUUAAAGGACGGGGUGUGUGGGGAGAGAGGAGUGUAGAAAUACUUUCCUUUGCAGAGUAGUAGUAAUUUGGACUUCUCUCAAGCAUGCAUAUUGCACCUCUUCAUUAAAGAUGGUUACGGGGGCGCCUGGGUGGCCCAGUCUGUUGGGCGACUGACUUCGGCUCAGGUCAUGAUCUCGCGGUCUGUGAGUUCGAGCCCCGCAUCGGGCUCUGUGCUGACAGCUCAGAGCCUGGAACCUCCUUUGGAUUCUGUGUCUCCCUCUCUCUGGCCCUCCCCUGCUCACCUCUCUCUCUCUCUCUCUCUCUCUUUCUAAAAAAUAAACAUUAAAAAAAAUUUUUUUUUAAAGUUGAUCACGGUCAUUUGCUCCUCAGAGUGCGGUCUGGGGACCCAGGCCAGAUGCUGCCUGGGAGCUGGCUAGGCCUGCAGAAUCUUAUCCCUUGGUGGUCAGCCAGCAUCUGCCUUUUAACAAAUCUCAGGCGAUUCGUACACAUAUUGAAGACAUCAAACAAAGUGCACUGACUGAGGCCCUACCUAUGUUAGGUAAAUAACUUUAGUAUCUAGCUUUUUAAGUCCAUACACAUUUCUUAGGCUCAAAUUGCUCUAGAGAAUCUUCAAACGGUAGAUUUAAGAAAAACUCAAAAGAAAUGAUGUAAAAGCGCCUGGGAAUGAAAUUUCCUCUGAAACAUGUUCCGUGUUCGGUAUGUUUCUAGCAAUGAGGAAUCAGGGCAGAAGGUAUCUCACCUCUUGACAAAGGAAUUAGUAAAGACAUGUGCCAGGGUUGAGCUCCGAACACAUAAGGGCGUUCGUUAGGCGAUGCUGUAAAAUGCAGGUGUGUGUGAGCGAGGGUGUUUGUGGAGGAGGGCGAUUUGAAGGACCCAGGUUUCACUGUCCCCUGACGCCAGGCAGUGGAAGGGGAAGGAGGCCUGCAGAUGACAGAACACAAGCACGGGAGGACACCGCAGUGUUUCCUGGUGGUGGCAGUUGAACCACGUGGGAGCAGCUGGCUCAGAACAGCGGCGGAGAGGACGGUGAGGGUGUGCGUGUCACUUCCCCCGCUGGCCAAGGUCUGGCCGAGCUUUGGCCCCGGGCUGGCUGGCGAGGCAGUGGUUCCCGUGAUGACUUUAAAGAAAUGAUUUUACUUUUUUUUUUUCUUGUACCCCAGCCAUUUACCUUUGCAAAUUUACAAGGAGUCACAUCACAGAUCUAUUGUUUACAUUGUUUACAAAAGUAAAAUCUGUUCGUUGAAACAAACCUUACAAGAGCCCCUCCCCGUCCAAAAAGUAACCUCAUCACCCUGAGAUCACCAAUAGCAACAUUUUGGUGUCCAGUUUUCCCAGUUAUAGCCGUGGGGUUUUUUGGGAUACAAUUUAUAUAAAUAUUUUAUCAUCUACUCUGACGUUUUAACAAUUGGUAAAUACUUUUCCCCAUCAUUAAUGGUAUAUAAAAUUAUUAAAAAAAUUUUUUUUUACAUUUAUUUAUUUUUGAGAGAGAGAGAGAGAGAGAGAGAGCACAAGUGGGGGAGGGGCAGAGAGAGAGGGAGACACAGCAGGCUCCAGGCUCCAAGCUGUCAGCCCAGAGCCCGAUGCGGGGCUCAAACUCACAGACCAUGAGCCGAAGUCAGACGCCCAAUCGACUGAGCCACCCAGGCGCCCCCCUAUAAAGUCAUUUUAAUGGUGGUAGUAUCUGUCUCUCUAGUAAGACCAUAAAUUUCUUUACUAGUGCUGUAGGUUGGGGGUCCACACACUUUACUUAAAAUGGCCAGAGACUACAUACGUAUUUAGACGUUGCAGGCCAUGUGGUCUCUGUCCCAACUAGUGGGUGUUGCCCCAGGAAAGCAAGAGCAGUCUUAGAUAAAUGGAUGAGCUGGGCUGUGUCCUGGUGAAAUGUGACUUACAAAGCCAGACCGGCAGGCUACAGGUUGCCCACCGCCCUAGUUGAACCUUUAGGCUGGUAGUGUUCCCUAAUCACCAACCAAAUUUGGGCAUCUUUGCUCAGCUGCAUUUUCCAUAAAUUAAUCUCUGCAAUGGAUAUUGGGGAUGCGUAUAUUCCAAGUAGGGAGAACAUUCCUUUACUAAACAGUUAAGAAACAUGCUAAGGAUGUGAAUAGACAAAUCCCCUCGCCCCCCCCCCCCCCCCCCCCCCCCCAAAAGGAACUAGAACCAGCAAAUAAGACUUGGGAAAAUAGCUUUUCUAGCAGUUUAAAUACAGUUUGGGCAAUGAGAUACCAUCUUCUUUUUAUAAUAAUACUAAAGACUACUUAAAAAUCCCCCAUCAACAAGGAUCAAGCAAAAUGAACAUUCACAUCCUGAUGGUAAGAGUAUAAACUUGGUAAAAAUCUCUUGAAAGGCAGUUAGGCAAUAAUUCAGUUGAAUCUUGAUCAAUCAGUUGAAUCUUGAUCAAUCCCAGUAAGCCUACUCCUGGAAAUCUUUCCAAAGGUAACACCAUAUAUACACACAGAUUUAUGUAUAAGGAUAUUUAUUAAAAUAUGUAUAACUAACACAAACUGGAAACACACUAGGGAAAUGUUUAGUAAAUUAUUGUGUAUCUACGUUAUGGAAUACAUGUUAAGUAUUUAAAAUCUUGUUUUCCCAAUAUUUAGUGACAUGUGGUUCAGUAUGUAGAUAGCCUGUCUGAGUUCAGGCUGCUAUUAACAGUAUUUUUUCUAAUUGUUUAUCAGUUGAAAAAGUCACGUGGCCAGUUCACAAAUGAAGCACUUAACUGGUGCCUGGAUUUCAUGGCAGUUGAGAAAUUACUUAUUUUCCUGUAAUAAAGUGUAAAUGUAUUUGGCACUUUUUUUGUUACUAUCUUAUCUAAGAGUUGUUCGAGCUUUUAACACACCUUAUCUUUUUAUGAUAACUGCGGCUAGAAUUUAAUUUCCUAAAUAUCAAUGCAUAAAAAAUUAUUGAACUUGAAAGACAAAAAUAUGCUUCUAUAUGAGCUCUAAACAUGUAUUUCAAACUUCAUAGGACAUAGUGUGGAAAACAUUUCUUUUUGUACUUUAAACCAUUUGGAGCGACUCUUAAAACUCAACAAGAAAGACAAACAACCCAACUAAAACAUGAGCCAAAGAUCUGAGCAAACAUUUCUCCACUGAAGAUAUACAAAUGGCCAAUAAGCACAUGGAAAAAAAGUUCAACAUCAUCAGUCAUUAGGCAUAUACAAACCACAAUGAGACACCGUUUCACAACUACUGGAUUGGCUAUAAUAAAACCGAUGAACAGUAGUGAGUGUUGGCGAGGAUGUGGAGAAACCGGAACCCUCAUUUACUGCUGGAGGGAAGUCAAAGUGAUGUGGUGGCUUUGGACAAUGCGUUAGCGGCUCCUCUGUGAAGUUCGGCAUGGUUACAUACGACCCAGCAAUUCCACAGCUAGGUGUGUGUAUACCCAAGAGAAACAAAAACAUGUCUACACAAAAACUUGUAUACGAAUGUUCAUAGCAGCGUUAUUCAGAAUAGCUAAAAAGUAGAUCCCACCCACAUGCCCAUCAACUGAUAAAUGGAGAAAUAAAAUGGUAUAACCAGACAAUGGAAUAUUUUUCAGUCGUAGGAAGGAGGUACUGAUUCAUGCCGUCACACGGAUGAACUGUGGAAAUAUUAUGCUAAGUGAAAAAAGGCAGACACAAACUCUGUUUAUGAUUCAUUUAAAUGAAGUGUUCAGACUAGGCAAAUCCAUAAAGAACAGAGAGUAGCAUAGAGUUACCAGGGCUGGAAGAAGGGAAGAAUGGGAACAGGAAACGAUCACUAAUGGAUGUAGUUUUCUUUUUGGAGUAAUAAAAAAUAUUCUGACAUUAAAUAGUGAAUUUUGUGAAUAUACUAAAACCCAUUGAAUUACAUACUUUAUUGUUUUUUAAUUUUUAAAAAGUUUAUCUUUGAGAAAGAGAGAGAGCAUGAGCAGGGGAGAUGCAAAGAGAAAGGAAACACAGAAUAUGAAGCAGGCUUCAGGCUGCGAGGUGUCAGCACAGAGCCCAACAUGGGACUUGAACUCAUGAACUGUGAGAUCACGACCUGAGCCAAAAUUGGACCCUUAACUCACUGAGCCACCCAGGUACCCCUGCAUUAUAUACUUUAAAAGGUAAAUUUUAUGGUAUGUGAAUUAUAUCUCAAUUAAAAAUUGAAAAAAACCCCACAACAAUCCUACGUAUGGAUAAGUUAUUCAAAUACUUAGCCUCCCUAAUGGACUAGAAGACUUCAUCUGAAUCCAUAGCGACAAGCCAGCACCUACUAGGCACUCAUUUUUUUCUUUGAGCGAUUAAACAAGUGAGCUAAAUACAUACAUUAUCCUAAAUUGAAUUCCUUGGACUCAUUUCCCAGGGGUGAUAAAAUUGGGUCCCUAUGACUCAUCUCUUUGUGAUGAUGUGGUUGCUUUCCCUGCUGGUGAUUCCGCUGCUUUCCUUCCUGGCUUUAGCUAUCAGCCACUUACCAAAUAAUAUCCACUAGCUCAAGUGAUGUUGUAUGAGCAGUCUGGUCCUAAUGGAUUACGUGCCGGCACUUUGUUAACGAUCAUUCUGAGAUUUCACAUAAGAUGCCAUGGUUGCCUGGAUGAAGAGACUAGAUGGGAUAUUUCUGCAGUGAAAGCAUCUAUCACCAUGUCAGGACAGAACUGCUGGGCAUGAGAACGUAGUGGAAUUGGCACGUAAUGUGAGGGCAUGAUACAAGCAAGGCACUGAAGUUGUGGGAAAGUAUUUCAGAAAAACAAAAAUAACAGGGUCCAUUGAAAUGAUCGAUUUGUGAUGUGACAGAGAGGAGAGUCUCAAAUUCCAGCUCCGAGUGCCCACGACUGACUUCCAGGUUGUGGGAAGAGAAAUGGGGAGGCUUGGAGGAAAGUCUGACCCACAGGCAAGCGCCGUCUGGGCGCAUUCUACCAGAGGGGGGCCGGAUGCCCGGUAGGGCACUGCUUCUUCCAGCCGCCCUUCCCGCAGCCGCAGCCACGGCAGCCACCACAACUUCCACAGCCACCGCACCCCAUGGUGUCAGUAGAGAGGACUUGGGAGAGGUGAGGAGAAGAGGGAGACUCGGGGUGAGGGAGGUCUGAUGUUUGCCUCUUCCCUGGGGGCCCUUAAAUACUGUAUCUGGGGGUUUCGCACAAGAUACUGCUCACUCUCCCUCCUUGUUUUGACCAGAGGGAUGUUUAUUUCCUGUUACUAUCUCAGGAGCAGACAGGACUUAAUUCUCCUUCAAUUUCAGAUAAAUUACCUUUGCUUUCAAAGGAAUCAGAACUGAAAUAGAUAAUAAAACACUGCUUUCCCCCCCAAUACAUCUGCCUGUGAGUGCAAUUCUUUUUUGUUGUUUGUUUUUUGCUUUUUUUUUUUUUUUGUAAAAGAGACAAGUGAGGGAGGGGCAGAGAGAGAGAGAGAGAGUGAGUGAGAGAGAGAAUGGAUCCCACGAAGGCUCUAUUGUAAGAAUUUCUUACAUAUUCUUGGCACAGAGCCUAAUGAGGGGCUUGAUCAAAAGACUGUGAGACUAUUACCUGAACUAAAAUCAAGAGUAGGAUGCUUUAUCUACUCAGCCACCCAGACCCCCUCAAGUAAAAUUCCUUUGGUUAGUAUCAGAUGAUCUAAACCAUGGAGAUUCAUCUUUCUCUCUUCUUUGGCAGAUCUUAGCCUCUCAGGGAGAGAUACUCGACUGGCAUUUUUUCUUAUCUUUUGUCUUACCCUAAUUAUAUGUAUUUUAUGUACAUUAUCUCGUCUAAUCGCUCUUUAAAAGUCCAUGAAUUUGGUAUAUAAAGUCUCUAUUCAAAUGGACUUUAUAUUCAAAUAAUCUAGGAUGUGCUGUACUAUGUGUCUCCAUUUGGGAAAUUAGCACUAACAUGGCAGAGGUAAUUAGAAGUCCUGGAGGGGAAAAAAGUUUGAAAAGAAAGCAAAUCAAUUUUCAGCAAUGAAAGAAUUUCUUACAUAUCAAAUAGAAAAUGUAAUUUGAAAAAUCCAUUCAAGGGCUCCUGGGUGGUUCCAUCGGUUAAGUGUCCAACUCUUGACUUGGGCUCAGGUGAUGAUCUCAGUCAUGAGAUUGACCCCUGUGUCUGGCUCUGCGCUGACAGUGUGGAGCCUGCUUGGGAUUUUCUCUCUCUCUCUGCCCCUUCCCUGCUCACGUGCUUUCUCUUUCUCUCAAAACAAACAAAUAAAUAUUUCAAAAAGACCCGUGCAAAAUAGCAAUAAAAUUAUAACAGUGCUUAACCCCAAAGACGUGCAAGAUAUUUAGAAAGAAAAUUAUUAAAUUGUGUUGAAGGACAUAAAAGAGGAAAUAAAUGGAGAAACGUCCUAGGUUUAUGGAUGGGAGUUCUCAAUAUCUAAACAAUGUUGUGAUGGUCAGUUUCCUGUAUCUCCUUGCUUGGGCUAAGGGAUGCCCAGAUAUCUGAUAAGACAUCUUUUUCUGAGUGUGUUUAGCAUUGAGAUUAGCAUUGAGAGCAGUGGACUGAGCGAAGAAGACAGCUUCAUCAGUGGGUGUGGGCAUCAUGCAAUCCACUGAGGAUUUGGCUGGGACGCAAAGGCAGAAGAAGGGUGUGGGGAAUGAGCUUAGGAAUUCCCUGAGCUUGCACCGAUGGGUUAACAAGGCAGAAAGUAAGAGAAAGCCACAGGAUGUACGCAUCCAAGAUUAGGUAAACAGGGCAAAGGCCCCCAGUAUAGGACAAACGUAUAGGAAUAGGAAAUCUCAGGGUGAAAACAUCCAAGAUGAGGUCAACAAGAUUAGAGAUUCAGGGCAGAAGUGACCCCCAAUUUAGUACAAUAGCAGAAAUCUGCUUUCACAGGAAGGAAGGACGAAAUUAGGUGAACUGGUAAACAGGGCUAUAGACCCCUGCGGGGCGAAGUUGCCCAGAGCGGAGCUAAUUAGCAAAAGAAAGGUGCCUUGUUGACCCAGAGGUAGCAUGUUCUGUCUGUCUUGUCCCCUAGGCAAGUUUAGGUAAACAGAGGUGGCGCCUCACGUCUGCUGUUAACAACCAUCUGCCCGGCACCAGGACUUUGUUGUGUAUUGACCCAAACCCCUAACACCACAUCUUCAACACCCCCUUUCCCUCACACCCGUGAGGUAAUGUUCACAGUUUCAUUGUCUCUUUGCACACGUCCAUCACGCUUGUAAGCCUUCUGAUCCUAAUAAAAACAAAGCAAGGACCCUUACUCGGGGCUCUUGUCUCCUCUCGGACAUUAGCCUCUCUCGCAUUUCUACCCUGCGUUCGCUCUCUUGCUGGACAAGAGAGAACCCCAGACCCAGAGUCUGCGACAGAAGGGCAAAUUUGCUCUUUGCUUGAGCUGGGACAUCCAUCGUCCCCUGCCCUCGGACUUCAGACUCAGACCAAAUGACAUGAGUGGCUCUUCUGAUUCGCCAGCUUGAGGGUGGCAGAUGGUGGAACUUCUCAGCCCCAUGUGACGUGAGCCAAUUCCUAUAGUAAAUCUAUGUGCCUGUAUCUACACCCAGCCAUCCUAUUGGUCCUGUUUCUCUGCAGAACAUUGAUGAAUACAGAUGUUACUCCUUCCCAAAGUAAGUAACAAAUUCAUUGUGAUUCUGCUAAAAACCCUAAGAGGUUUUUUAACAGACCAAGCCACCCAGGCGCCCCUCCUAAGAGAUUUUUUAAAACAUGGUCUCUUUUCACUGUUUCUUUAUUCACUGUUUUUAUUCAAAACAAGUUUUUAGUUUAUUUAUUUUGAGAGACAGCACACGCAGGGGAGGGGGGCAGAGAGAAGGAGAGACAGAAUUCCAAAUAGGCUGCGGACCAUCAGCACAGAGCCUGAUGCAGGGCUUGAACCCAUGAACCUUGAGAUACUGACCUGAGCCAAGAUCAAGAGUCAGAUGCUUACCCGACUGAACCACCCAGGUGCCCCUCAUUGUUCACUUUUUUAAAAAAAUGUAACAGCUUCUCCUAAAAUCUGUUUGACCAAACAAAAGGCAAAGAAUGUCAAAUAUGGUUUGUUUGUUUGUUUUUAAGAAGAAUGAGGAGAGAAGUUCACCUAUUAGAUAUUGGGACUAAUUCUAAAGCUAUGAUCAUUAAAACAGUAUGAUAUUCUGUUACUGAGACAGAGAGACUAGUGGACAGGAACUGAGAGCCCCGAGAUGAAAUCACACAAAUUUUGGAAUUUGGUAUAUGGCAGAAACAUUACAAAUCAGGAGAAGAUCCUAGCCAUUCAAUAUUGGUACUGAAAUACUAGGCUAUCCAUGUGGAUACAAAUAAUAUGAGGGUCCUUCAUACUCUACAUUAAAAUAAAUUCCAGAUCUGGGGCACCUGGGUGGCUCAACUGGGUAAGCCUCCAGCUUCGUCGGCUCAGGUUAUGAUCUCGAGGCCUGUGAGUUUAUGCCCCACGUUGGUCUUGGUGCUGACAGCUCAGAGCCUGGAGCCUGCUUCGAUUCUGGGUCGCCCCCUCUCUCUGCCCCCCCACC